rnacentral:rRNA from 1 species
AUUGAACGCUGGCGGCAUGCUUUACACAUGCAAGUCGAACGGCAGCACGGGGGCAACCCUGGUGGCGAGUGGCGAACGGGUGAGUAAUGCAUCGGAACGUAUCCUUAAGUGGGGGAUAACGCAUCGAAAGAUGCGCUAAUACCGCAUAAUCUCUGAGGAGAAAAGCAGGGGAUCGCAAGACCUUGCGCUUUUGGAGCGGCCGAUGUCUGAUAGCUAGUUGGUGAGGUAAAGGCUUACCAAGGCUUCGAUCAGUAGCUGGUCUGAGAGGACGACCAGCCACACUGGGACUGAGACACGGCCCAGACUCCUACGGGAGGCAGCAGUGGGAAUUUUGGACAAUGGGGAACCCUGAUCCAGCCAUGCCGCGUGAGUGAAGAAGGCCUGGUGUAA